rnacentral:SRP_RNA from 1 species
GCCAGGCGUGGUGGCUCACGCCUGUAAUCCCAACACUUUGGGAGGCCAAGAUGGGUGGAUCACCUGAGGUCAGGAAUUCAUGACCAGCCUGACCAACAUGGUGAAACCCCAUCUCUA